CAAAAUGCGAUAAGUAGUGUGAAUUGCAGAAUUCAGUGAAUCAUCGAAUCUUUGAACGCACAUUGCGCCCGCCGGUAUUCCGGCGGGCACACCUGUUCGAGCGUCAUUUCAGAAUCCAUCGAGCUUUUCUGGUGGUCUUCAAAGCCGCUGGAAAUGCACGGCGUUGGGUGCUCCCUCUCCUGGAAAUGGAGUCGGGGACGCCUUAAAUCCUGCCCGAGCUGGCAGUGCAUCUAAGGACAGUGGUCGAGGUCGUACUGUCUUCUUCUCCGAGCGUUGCAGGAGGACUCACGUUAUCCCGCUCCCCGAGAGGGUCAGAAGGUCUCUCUGACAUGUGUCUUAAAAACACACACAGUCCUCUGAUGUCUUAGCUGCUAUUCGCGAACUAUAAUUUACUAUCGACAGAUUGACCUCGGAUCAGGUGGGGAUACCCGCUGAACUUAAGC
rnacentral:misc_RNA from 1 species